CCUCUAUUUCUCGGCGGGGUCCCGGUCCCCGUAAUGUUCGGAGGUAGAGGGAAGGGGCUCCAGCCUCCCCGGCGUUAUGCCUUCGGUGCCGGUCGUCGCCCGUCCGCUGGUUCUAUCCUCGCUCGCCGGGACAAAC